UUAAUUGAAGCCAAAAAGAGGCUUAUCACUGUUAAUGAUAGAACUGAGAUAUAUACUCCAAUUAAA
rnacentral:tRNA from 1 species